CCGGCACGGGUGAGUAACACGUAUCCAACCUGCCGUCUACUCUUGGACAGCCUUCUGAAAGGAAGAUUAAUACAAGAUGGCAUCAUGAGUCCGCAUGUUCACAUGAUUAAAGGUAUUCCGGUAGACGAUGGGGAUGCGUUCCAUUAGAUAGUAGGCGGGGUAACGGCCCACCUAGUCUUCGAUGGAUAGGGGUUCAGAGAGGAAGGUCCCCCACAUUGGAACUGAGACACGGUCCAA
rnacentral:rRNA from 1 species